AUGCUCAUUUUGGCAGUAUAUAUGCUAAAACUUACGAUGCCUGGAAGAUUAGCAUGGCCCUGUGCAAUGAUGGCACAUGUGCAUUUGUGAAGUGUUCCAUUUUUUU